GAUAGCAUUAGUAGUCUUCACUAUUCUGUGAAAUAGUGUGAUAAUAAUUGUAAUGAGGUCUCCUUUUGAGUUUGUAUAAUCUCUAGUAGACAAUAUUUGUAUUCAAACUCACAGUUUAUGUUUUGUCGUAUUGUACACGACAGUUGUAUUAGUAAGUUGUAUUUAAAUUCUGUACCAUGUAUCUGACGACCUAAGAUGGGUGAUGUAUACCUAAUUUUGGGGGCGUCACAUAUAUAUAUCAACAGAAAGCAAAUAUUAAUGAAUUGAGU
rnacentral:lncRNA from 1 species